rnacentral:lncRNA from 1 species
AGGACCUUCGAGCAAUGAAAAUGUAAAGCAAAAGUGAAACAAGAAUGUGAGGAUUAGAAGAGUCUUUAUCAGAGUGUCCAACAUCCCCUCUAUUGUUUCUACAGCCACGCCUCAAGCAAUAUCAAUGCCAUCAUGGACACCUGCUCACAUGCAGGCCUUCCCAUGCUCUUGUUAAUCCUGGUUGAAGAAACCUGGCAAGGAUAUUCAUCUACUCCUUCAGUCUGGGAAUAGCAGGAAUGCUGGAAGGUCACUCAGCAGCUUCCCUCACGAGAAGUGUCCACGUGCACUAAAGUGUGGCGAGGUCCACGCCUUGCACGUGGCUGUUUUUGGUGAGUCCGUGCUGAGAACGAGUAUUUAAAUGUUCCUCUCAUCUCCCUUGUGUUUAUUAACGUGUGUGUGCACAUGUGUGCAAAUGGUCUAGUCUGGACACAAG